rnacentral:pre_miRNA from 1 species
GUCUAGGGCUGGGUCUUUGCGGGCGAGAUGAGAGGUUUGUGCAUUCAACUGGCCUACAAAGUCCCAGUUCUCGGC